GAGGUAAAGGCUUACCAAGAUUAUGAUGUGUAGCUGGACUGAGAGGUUGAACAGCCACAUUGGGACUGAGACACGGCCCAAACUCCUACGGGAGGCAGCAGUAGGGAAUUUUCGGCAAUGGAGGAAACUCUGACCGAGCGACGCCGCGUGAACGAUGAAGUAUUUCGGUAUGUAAAGUUCUUUUAUUGAAGAAGAAAAAAUAGUGGAAAAACUAUCUUGACGUUAUUCAAUGAAUAAGCCCCGGCUAACUAUGUGCCAGCAGCCGCGGUAAGACAUAGGGGGCGAGCGUUACCCGGAAUUAUUGGGCGUAAAGGGUGCGUAGGCGGUUAGAUAAGUCUAUAAUUUAAUUUCAGUGCUUAACGCUGUCUUGUUAUAGAAACUAUCUUGACUAGAGUGAGAUAGAGGCAAGCGGAAUUCCAUGUGUAGCGGUAAAAUGUGUAAAUAUAUGGAGGAACACCAGAAGCGUAGGCGGCUUGCUGGGUCUUUACUGACGCUGAGGCACGAAAGCGUGGGGAGCAAACAGGAUUAGAUACCCUGGUAGUCCACGCUGUAAACGAUGAGCACUAAGUGUCGGGGGUAACUCGGUACUGAAGUUAACACAUUAAGUACUCCGCCUGAGUAGUACGUACGCAAGUAUGAAACUUAAAGGAAUUGACGGGACUCCGCACAAGCGGUGGAUCAUGUUGUUUAAUUCGAAGAUACACGAAAAACCUUACCAGGUCUUGACAUACUCUGCAAAGCUAUAGAAAUAUAGUGGAGGUUAUCAGGGAUACAGGUGGUGCAUGGUUGUCGUCAGUUCGUGUCGUGAGAUGUUAGGUUAAGUCCUAAAACGAACGCAACCCCUGUCGCUAGUUGCCAGCACGUAAUGGUGGGGACUUUAGCGAGACUGCCAAUUAAAAAUUGGAGGAAGGUGGGGAUAACGUCAAAUCAUCAUGCCCCUUAUGAUCUGGGCUACAAACGUGAUACAAUGGCUAUUACAAAGAGUAGCUGAAACGCGAGUUUUUAGCCAAUCUCAAAAAGGUAGUCUCAGUACGGAUUGAAGUCUGCAACUCACUUCAUGAACUGGAAUCGCUAGUAAUCCGAAUCACAUGUCCGGUGAAUACGUUCUCGGGGUUUGUACACACCGCCCGUC
rnacentral:rRNA from 1 species